rfam:Meleagris gallopavo strain Nicholas mitochondrion, complete genome.
AAAAGACUUAGUCCUAACCUUACUAUUGAUUUUUGCUAGACAUAUACAUGCAAGUAUCCGCAUGCCAGUGAAAAUGCCCUAACCCCUUAAGAAAAGAAUAAAGGAGCAGGUAUCAGGCACACUCUAAUGUAGCCCAAGACGCCUUGCUUGAGCCACACCCCCACGGGUAUUCAGCAGUAAUUAACCUUAAGCAAUAAGUGUAAACUUGACUUAGCCAUAGCAACUUUAGGGUUGGUAAAUCUUGUGCCAGCCACCGCGGUCAUACAAGAAACCCAAAUCAAUAGCCAUCCGGCGUAAAGAGUGGUCACAUGCUAUCUAUACCAAUUAAGAUCAAAGUGUAACUAAGCUGUCAUAAGCCCAAGAUUCACCUAAGCCCAGCCUAAAAAAUGAUCUUAACUUAACGAUCAAUUUAAAGCCACGAAAGCCAGGGCACAAACUGGGAUUAGAUACCCCACUAUGCCUGGCCCUAAAUCUUGAUACUAAUAUACUCACGUAUCCGCCUGAGAACUACGAGCACAAACGCUUAAAACUCUAAGGACUUGGCGGUGCCCUAAACCCACCUAGAGGAGCCUGUUCUGUAAUCGAUAAUCCACGAUCCACCCAACCACCUCUUGCCAACACAGCCUACAUACCGCCGUCGCCAGCCCACCUAAAAUGAAAGAUCAAUAGUGAGCUCAAUAGUCCCCACUAACAAGACAGGUCAAGGUAUAGCCCAUGAGGUGGAAGAAAUGGGCUACAUUUUCUAACAUAGAACAGACGAAAAAGGGCGUGAAACUCGCCCUUGGAAGGAGGAUUUAGCAGUAAAGUAAGACCAUACUUCUCUUAAGCCUACUUAAAGACGGCCCUGGGGCACGUACAUACCGCCCGUCACCCUCCUCACAAGCUAUCAAUUUCAAUAAAUAAUACCCAACCCUAGCUAAAGAUGAGGUAAGUCGUAACAAGGUAAGCGUACCGGAAGGUGCGCUUAGACUACCAAGGCG